rnacentral:sRNA from 1 species
ACCUGGAGGCAGCGCGCGCGUCCAAGAGGCAGCGGCUGGGGAGCGCGGCGGGGCGGCUCCGCCCAGGGCAGCCCGGGCUGGGCCAAGGAGCAAGCUCACCCUUCUCCAGCUCUCAGCCCCAGUGAUCAAGGCUUCAGUGAACUGCACUGGAGCUCCCAGCGGGGGAUCUUGUCCCCUGUCCUGACUUUUGUGCUGCACUUUGGAUCUGGUGACACUCAGGAAAUGCUUGUCUCCGGCUGUUAAUGAAUAAUUUCAGAGUACUAUGGAUCAUGCUGAAGAAAAUGAAAUCCUUGCAGCAACCCAGAGGUACUAUGUGGAAAGGCCUAUCUUUAGUCAUCCGGUCCUCCAGGAAAGACUACACACAAAGGACAAGGUUCCUGAUUCCAUUGCGGAUAAGCUGAAACAGGCAUUCACAUGUACUCCUAAAAAAAUAAGAAAUAUCAUUUAUAUGUUCCUACCCAUAACUAAAUGGCUGCCAGCAUACAAAUUCAAGGAAUAUGUGUUGGGUGACUUGGUCUCAGGCAUAAGCACAGGGGUGCUUCAGCUUCCUCAAGGUCCUUUUGCUGUUAUUAGCCUGAUGAUUGGUGGUGUGGCUGUUCGAUUAGUACCAGAUGAUAUAGUCAUUCCAGGAGGAGUAAAUGCAACCAAUGGCACAGAGGCCAGAGAUGCCUUGAGAGUGAAAGUCGCCAUGUCUGUGACCUUACUUUCAGGAAUCAUUCAGUUUUGCCUAGGUGUCUGUAGGUUUGGAUUUGUGGCCAUAUAUCUCACAGAGCCUCUGGUCCGUGGGUUUACCACUGCAGCAGCUGUGCAUGUCUUCACCUCCAUGUUAAAAUAUCUGUUUGGAGUUAAAACAAAGCGGUACAGUGGAAUCUUUUCAGUGGUGUAUGCGUCGGGCUGAUGGUUUUUGGUUUGCUGUUGGGUGGCAAGGAGUUUAAUGAGAGAUUUAAAGAGAAAUUGCCGGCGCCUAUUCCUUUAGAGUUCUUUGCGGUUGUAAUGGGAACUGGCAUUUCAGCUGGGUUUAACUUGAAAGAAUCAUACAAUGUGGAUGUCGUUGGAACGCUUCCUCUAGGGCUGCUACCUCCAGCCAAUCCGGACACCAGCCUCUUCCACCUUGUGUACGUAGAUGCCAUUGCCAUAGCCAUCGUUGGAUUUUCAGUGACCAUCUCCAUGGCCAAGACCUUAGCAAAUAAACAUGGCUACCAGGUUGACGGCAAUCAGGAGCUCAUUGCCCUGGGACUGUGCAAUUCCAUUGGCUCACUCUUCCAGACCUUUUCAAUUUCAUGCUCCUUGUCUCGAAGCCUUGUUCAGGAGGGAACCGGUGGGAAGACACAGCUUGCAGGUUGUUUGGCCUCAUUAAUGAUUCUGCUGGUCAUAUUAGCAACUGGAUUCCUCUUUGAAUCAUUGCCCCAGGCUGUGCUGUCGGCCAUUGUGAUUGUCAACCUGAAGGGAAUGUUUAUGCAGUUCUCAGAUCUCCCCUUUUUCUGGAGAACCAGCAAAAUAGAGCUGACCAUCUGGCUUACCACUUUUGUGUCCUCCUUGUUCCUGGGAUUGGACUAUGGUUUGAUCACCGCUGUGAUCAUUGCUCUGCUGACUGUGAUUUACAGAACACAGAGGUGAGUGCCUAAAUUGGAAUAGAUGUGAGUGUUCCGGCAGAGAUGACAAUGUUGACUUUAAGUGUAGACCAAAGUUUAAGUUGGUAGAAGUGGAGCCCUUUGAUGGUUUCUAGUUAGCGUGAGAGGAAGCUAUAACACUCAUGUAGCCUGUUGACUAAAUGAAUAAAAUGCCAAUUUAAAAAUUCCAUAUAAUUUUGCCAAAUGCUCUUCUAUGUCACAAUUUAUGCUCCCAUCAAUGGUUAUGUUAAAAGAGCCUAAUUUCCAUCAUUGUUUCUGCCAUUCCCGAUCUAGUGCUAUGCUGGUUUAUUUACCCUCUUGCAAUUUGUUUCGGCACCACAUACUGACAUGAGUUUCAAUGACAUGAAGCAAACUCUGACGCCAAGUUAUCGUAUGCAUUCCUUCCAUUGUCCUUUCCUCCACCCUGAACCACUAUCUCCUGUUAUCUCUUCUCCCUAGUAGGAAGCUGAGCCCACUAGGGAAAGUAU